AUUGAACGCUGGCGGCAGGCCUAACACAUGCAAGUCGAGCGGAUGAAGGGAGCUUGCUCCUGGAUUCAGCGGCGGACGGGUGAGUAAUGCCUAGGAAUCUGCCUGGUAGUGGGGGAUAACGUCCGGAAACGGGCGCUAAUACCGCAUACGUCCUGAGGGAGAAAGUGGGGGAUCUUCGGACCUCACGCUAUCAGAUGAGCCUAGGUCGGAUUAGCUAGUUGGUGGGGUAAAGGCCUACCAAGGCGACGAUCCGUAACUGGUCUGAGAGGAUGAUCAGUCACACUGGAGCUGAGACACGGUCCAGACUACUAAGGGAGGCAGCAGUGGGGAAUAUUGGACAGUGGGCGAAAGCCUGAUACAGCCAUGCCGAGUGUGUGAAGAAGGUCUUCGGAUUGUAAAGCACUUUAAGUUGGGAGGAAGGGCAGUAAGUUAAUACCUUGCUGUUUUGACGUUACCAACAGAAUAAGCACCGGCUAACUUCGUG
rnacentral:rRNA from 1 species